CUGAAUCUGUCGUCCGAGAAAUAGUCUUAGAGAGAGGAGAGCCGAAAAUAGUAAAAGUAUACACAAGUAGUGGGAAUUGGGAAAUUGUUGAGAUGGAAUUGUGGACCUCUCUCUUUUGAGUUUAAGAGGGAAUUAUUGUAAAAUUUUCCUAUUUCCCAUGCAUCAAUCUUUUUGUUUAAAGUACAACUCCCAUGCAUCUAUCUUUUAUAUGAGGUAUGAG
rnacentral:lncRNA from 1 species